rnacentral:rRNA from 1 species
AGAGACAGCAGCAGCCGCGGUAAUACAGAGGGUGCGAGCGUUAAUCGGAUUUACUGGGCGUAAAGCGUGCGUAGGCGGCUAAUUGAGUCGGAUGUGAAAUCCCCGAGCUUAACUUGGGAAUUGCAUUCGAUACUGGUUAGCUAGAGUGUGGGAGAGGAUGGUAGAAUUCCAGGUGUAGCGGUGAAAUGCGUAGAGAUCUGGAGUAAUACCGAUGGCGAAGGCAGCCAUCUGGCCUAACACUGACGCUGAGGUACGAAAGCAUGGGGAGCAAACAGGAUUAGAUACCCCAGUAGUCCCUGUCUCUUAUAC